rnacentral:rRNA from 1 species
UACAGAGGGUGCGAGCGUUUAAUCGGAAUUACUGGGCGUAAAGGGCGCGUAGGCGGUUGAUUAAGCUGUGUGUGAAAGAAUUGGGCUUAACCUAAUAAAGCAAACAGAACUGAUUGACUAGAGUGAAGUAGAGGUGAUAGGAAUUUCCGGAGUAGCGGUGAAAUGCGUAGAUACCGGAAAGAACACCAGAGGCGAAGGCGAGUCACUGGACUUUAACUGACGCUGAGGCGCGAAAGCGUGGGGGAGCAAACAGG